rnacentral:rRNA from 1 species
AUUGAACGCUGGCGGAAUGCUUUACACAUGCAAGUCGAACGGCAGCACGGACUUCGGUCUGGUGGCGAGUGGCGAACGGGUGAGUAAUGUAUCGGAACGUGCCCAGUCGUGGGGGAUAACGUAGUGAAAAUUACGCUAAUACCGCAUACGAUCUAUGGAUGAAAGCGGGGGAUCGCAAGACCUCGCGCGAUUGGAGCGGCCGAUAUCAGAUUAGGUAGUUGGUGGGGUAAAGGCCCACCAAGCCAACGAUCUGUAGCUGGUCUGAGAGGACGACCAGCCACACUGGAACUGAGACACGGUCCAGGCUCCGACGGGAGGCAGCAGUGGGGAAUUUUGGACAAUGGGCGAAAGCCUGAUCCAGCCAUUCCGCGUGCAGGAUGAAGGCCCUCGGGUUGUAAACUGCUUUUGUACAGAACGAAAAGGUUUCUACUAAUACUAGGAGCUCAUGACGGUACUGUAAGAAUAAGCACCGGCUAACUACGUGCCAGCAGCCGCCGUAA